rnacentral:rRNA from 1 species
CAAUAGCGUAUAUUAAAGUUGUUGCAGUUAGAACGCUCGUAGUCGGAUUUCGGGGCGGGCCGACCGGUCUGCCGAUGGGUACGCACUGGUCGGCGCGUCCUUCCUUCCGGAGACCGUGCCUACUCUUAACUGAGCGGGGGCGGGAGACGGAUCGUUUACUUUGAAAAAAUCAGAGUGUUUCAAGCAGGCAGCUCGCUCUUGCAUGGAUUAGCAUGGGAUAAUGAAAUAGGACUUUGGUGCUAUUUUGUUGGUUUCGAACACCGAAGUAAUGAUUAACAGGGACAGUCAGGGGCACUCGUAUUCCGCCGAGAGAGGUGAAAUUCUCAGACCAGCGGAAGACGAACUACUGCGAAAGCAUUUGCCGGGGAUGUUUUCACUGA